UUAGAUAGUUGGGGGGGUAACGGCCCACCAAGUCGAUGAUAGGCAGGGGUUCUGAGAGGAAGGUCCCCCACACUGGUACUGAGACACGGACCAGACUCCUACGGGAGGCAGCAGUGAGGAAUAUUGGUCAAUGGGCGAGAGCCUGAACCAGCCAAGUCGCGUGAGGGAUGACUGCCCUAUGGGUUGUAAACCUCUUUUGUAUGGGGGGAAUAAGCUUUACGAGUAGAGUGAUGACAGUACCAUACGAAUAAGCAUCGGCUAACUCCGUGCCAGCAGCCGCGGUAAUACGGAGGAUGCGAGCGUUAUCCGGAUUUAUUGGGUUUAAAGGGUGCGUAGGCGGCAUUAUAAGUUAGUGGUAAAAUAUUGGGGCUUCACCUCACUACGCCAUUAAUACUGUAGAGCUAGAGAACAGACGAGGUAGGCGGAAUAAGUUAAGUAGCGGUGAAAUGCAUAGAUAUAACUUAGAACACCGAUAGCGAAGGCAGCUUACCAGACUGAGUCUGACGCUGAUGCACGAGAGCAUGGGUAGCGAACAGGAUUAGAUACCCUGGUAGUCCAUGCCGUAAACGAUGCUCACUGGCCUUAGGCGAUAUAUGGUCU
rnacentral:rRNA from 1 species